CAGGCCGUGGGAAUCAUCACGCAGAAACCAACCACUUCAAGUUCCAGAUUUUUUUUUUAAUCUCGUCUUUGCCGCUUGAUUUCACUUCGGUUGUGUGUGAUCCAAACUUAAAUUUAU